GCCACCGUCUGCCGCCGUCCCGGCCAACGCUGGCCGCAUACGACGCCGACACUCACCGGCGAAGCUGCGCCUUGGUCUGCUCCACUGGAUCCCCAUCCACGCAUCUUCGUUCCGCCCCCGAGCACGACGCAGCGUCUAACCCUAGCCGGGGGUUCGGCUCGGUCGCCGUCGCGGUUCCCGCGCCACCGCGCCUCCUGCUGAUCCCCUACGUCGUCUCUUGCUCCUCCUCGACUCCCCGUGCUCCUGCUCCUUCGCCUCUUUUGCGUGCGGCUUGGCCUGACCGUGUGGUGGCGCCGCCCGGUGGCGGUGUUGCUGCCGUUGCCGCUCUCGCCUCCUCUUCGAGGCUAUGCUCCUUCGACCGUUAGUGUAUCUCAACAAGCUCUGCCACCUCUCUCUCCUCUCUCACUGGUUUGUUUCGAAUGGUAUUACAGCCUGCCUACCAUGUGUUUGUGAAAAUGCUUCUUAGGCAUAGGCAAUUUAGGUCUGUCUCUUUUGUGCCGUUUACUUCUCAUGUUCGUUAGCAGAUAGGUUUGGUGGCGUAUUAUAGUGUAGAAUUAACAUGCGUUGUGCCACUUAUUGAGUUGAUUAAUGAAACAAUUGUGCUCCCCAUCCAUUCUUCAUGUACUCUGCGAGUAGGGUUAUCAACCAAUGGACAAUAGUAUGUUAAUUUGUUCCAGAAGGAAAACCCUACCUGUAGGUGCCUUUUAUAGUCUUCCUAUUCGCCAAAGUUGUGUCUGGUCAAUUCCUCAUGUAACCGUUACCAGAGAUUUCAUUUAGAUUUUAGUGAUUUAACAAAAUUCAGUCCUGUUUCUGAUGCCCUCUUCUUGCUAUCACCAAAAGUAGAUUAUCACUCUUGCUAUCAGUAAUUGUUUCCAUUCAUUGACUCAAAUUUAACGAACCGUAUUGCAGGGACUGCAAUCGAUUUGUUGUCCCCAAUCGUCAUUGAGGGAAAAGCUUGCUGGGAUCUGUACAUCGAUGGACUUGUCGUGUUCUGAUGGUAAUUUACUUGAUGCACUAGCUGUUGCGAUAAAGCGAGAUGGUGAGCUCUUCCCUAUUUCCCAGUGGUGCUGCCGAUAAGCGAGAUGUACGUUUUGUUCCUUGGAUCUGCUCUGCCAUUGUCAGGCAGAGAUUGAGAAUGGAGAGGGGAAAGGAGUGACGGGAUUUCGGGGUAAGGUUCCGAAGGUAGGAGACAAGAGUCACAACCAAAGAAGAGAUGGGGAGGAGCAGCUGGAUUAGAUUAGAUUUGAUCUGUACAAUUACAUAACGUUCUUUGGUAAGUGAGAUGUGAUUUGAUGACGUGAUUAGCGUCCUGAUAUUGGCAAGUUAUUGAAUGCCGCUGCGUGACUAUGGCAAUCCCGUUACUGCUCCUAUUGUUGUAUUUUUGGGAAGUAUGAUGGAUGGCUGGAUGACAAGCGGAAGAUGUUUUAUAUGAUUAGACGGUCUGGAUGUGUUGAAUAUUUGACAUCAAACAUUUUUGACGACGUACGGACUCGCAUGUAAUAGUAAAGAUUGAGGCAUGGGUCAUGUAUU